CUAAAAUUCCAUGUAAUGUACAUGAAUAAUGUAGUACUACAUUGAUUUCAUGAGAUAUUUUCUCGUGUUAUUUAUUAUAUCAUCGUAUUGUUCUUUUUUAUGUAUAAUAUAUAAAUAUGCGUUAAGUCAUUCACGUGAAAUUACACGUGAUGCUCACUGGUUCAUGAUGUCUUUCAUCCUGUUAUUACAGCAAAAUCUUUUCUGAAACAUUUCUUUAAGCAGAUUAUCAAACUUGGUGUAAAGUAUGGAUGCAGUUUAAGUACGUGGUUUUAGCUUUGUAUGAUUCACAGUUGUAAUCGGGCUUAGUGACUAUGUUGUAUGUACAUCACUAUUUAAGGCUGUAUAUAGUUAAAUCUUGACAACCAACAAGUUAGUGUAUUAUACCUCUGUAAACAAUCAAUGCCACUGAUUACUAGCAUGUCAAGUUUUCUCUCGACAAGAAGAGAGUGUCCAUCGAAUGAGUCUUGUAAUCAAACUGUGUCAAAUGGUGUUAUUGUGUCUUCUACGCCACCGUAUUUAUUAAAGUCUUUCGUACACAG
rnacentral:sRNA from 1 species